rnacentral:rRNA from 1 species
CCUACGGGGGGCAGCAGUGAGGAAUAUUGCACAAUGGGCGCAAGCCUGAUGCAGCGACGCCGCGUGAGCGAUGAAGGCCUUCGGGUCGUAAAGCUCUGUCCUAAGGGAAGAAUAAUGACGGUACCUUAGGAGGAAGCCCCGGCUAACUACGUGCCAGCAGCCGCGGUAAUACGUAGGGGGCGAGCGUUAUCCGGCAUCACUGGGCGUAAAGGGUGCGUAGGCGGCCCUGCAAGUCAGGAGUUGAAUCCCUCGGCUCAGCCGAGGUCAGCUCGUGAACAUGUAGGGCUUGAGUGCAGGAGAGGAGAGGGGAAUUCCAAGUGUGGCGGUGAAAUGCGUAGAUGUUAGGAGGGACACCAGUGGCGAAGGCGGCUCUCUGGACUGCAACUGACGCUGGGGCACGAAGGCGUGGGGAGCGAACAGGAUUAGAUACCCGAGAAGUC